ACUGUGGAGUAGGGGAAACACAGCUAGUUUGGGAGGGAAGAAUAUCCUUGGGAAAUUGUCAGAGCCUGAGUGUAAUCCUGCAGGAGCGUCCAAGAAUUCAGCUGGAUUGCUGGGGAGACUAGAU
rfam:Procavia capensis cont1.1650, whole genome shotgun sequence.